GGAAGGCGGAGGCCGUGCAGUGGGCUCCUGGGGCUGGGGGUCGGCUCGGAAUCAGUGCAACACCAAAGUCUACACCCCCGUCCAUUGAGGGCCUUCCCCACCCUCUUCAGAGGUAAACAUCACACGUCCACGGCUAGCUGUAUAUAUCUCCAGAUUUUCUAUUGAGCAAAUGGAGUCUUGGAAGAUACUGCCUGGAUGGUGAAGUCUUUCUCCUGUUUAAGAGCUGGAGCCCGCCUGUGGGAUCUUAGUUCCUUGACCAGGGCUAGAAGCCAACCCCCCUGAAUCGUAAGUAGAGCAUCUUAACCACUGGACCACUGGGGAAGUCCCUGAACUGUUUAAAAAUAUGUUUUCUUUGAACUAUUUUUAAUAUUAACGUUAAGAUGCCCUUUGCCUCUGUCACUUUUAUUCUCUCACAUGUGUAUGGUGGAGUUUCCAGGGGAGAUUCGCUGUUGCAACAGGUGGGAUGCAGAAUCAGAUGUGAGAAUCCAGCUGUCUUCUGUUCACUGGACAUGGAAGAGAUGCAAAAUUGGAAAACAAUGUCUCUCUCUUUUUAUGGAAUAUUUUUGUUUUGGAAAAGGUGGUUAUUUUUCAUUAAAAGUGUUAUUUGUUACCAUGAGUAGAUGGAUUGUGAUUUAAAAACUAACAAAAAAAGUUUUUAAAAUUAGCAGUUUUAUUUAUUUUUUGUUUUAAUUUACAAAUGGUAAAUAUCAGUAGCUAUAACCCAUAUAAACAGAUGUAUGUGUAUAUGUAUAUUUAUUUAUUUAUUUAUUUUUCCCAAUUAUUUUUAUUAGUUCCCUCAAGUAUAUUUUUUAAAGAAUGGAAAGGGGUACUGAGACCAAAAUGUUUGAAAACUGUGGAUGUAGAAGAGUGGUCCAAUCCAGCCCUCUGCCUGUUUUUAUAAAUAAAGUUUUAUUGGAACAUAGGCACACCACAUCUUUACAUAAGGCUGCUUUCCUGGUGCAAUGACAGAGCUGAAGAGUUGAGAGAGAGACCAUCUGGGCUACAAAACUGAAAAUAUUUACUCUUAGAUCCUUUAAGAGAAAGUUUGCUGGACUGAUGUAGAAUAAUGCAUUUAACCUUCAUGAACAGCUCUAUUACUGUUUCCCUUUUACAGAUGGGAAAAUAGAGGGACAGACAGGUUAAGUCAUUUUCCUUAGGUCACACAGUCAGUGAGGCUGGAGCUGAACUAAGCCCCUCAGGGUCAAAUGACUGACUCCAAAGUUGGGGUGUGGUCGAUGUCUUUGGUUAGUGUCCCCCUUAUUGGCCUCUGAUUCCCCUUCAUCUGGUACCCCAUUGUUCCUUGAAGACCAUCUACCUCUCCUUCUCUGCACAUUCUACGUGAUUCUCUGAAGCCCUUCCUUGGGAGAACCAGGAGUUGCAUCUUCAGACCAAAGGCCUUUCAUGUCAACCUGAACAAGAGAUGUGUGUGUGCUCAGUCACUACGUCGUUUCCGACUCUUUUGCGACCCCUUGGAUUAUAGCCCACCAGACUCCUCUGUCUAUGGGAUUUUCUAGGCAAGAAUACUGGUGUGGGUUGC